rnacentral:rRNA from 1 species
UACGUAGGGUGCAAGCGUUAAUCGGAAUUACUGGGCGUAAAGCGUGCGCAGGCGGUUCUAUAAGACCGAUGUGAAAUCCCCGGGCUUAACCUGGGAACUGCAUUGGUGACUGGCAGGCUUUGAGUGUGGCAGAGGGAGGUAGAAUUCCACGUGUAGCAGUGAAAUGCGUAGAGAUGUGGAGGAAUACCGAUGGCGAAGGCAGCCUCCUGGGCCAACACUGACGCUCAUGCACGAAAGCGUGGGGAGCAAACAGG